UACGGGGGGGGCAAGCGUUGUUCGGAAUUACUGGGCGUAAAGGGCUCGUAGGUGGCCAACUAAGUCAGACGUGAAAUCCCUCAGCUUAACUGGGGAACUGCGUCUGAUACUGGCGAGCUUGAGUGCAGGAGAGGAACGCGGAAUUCCAGGUGUAGCGGUGAAAUGCGUAGAUAUCUGGAGGAACACCGGUGGCGAAGGCGGCGUUCUGGACUGCAACUGACACUGAGAGACGAAAGCCAGGGGAGCAAACGGG
rnacentral:rRNA from 1 species